GAGUUUGUAAGGAACACCGAGAACUGCUAAUUCCUCGCUCCCAUGGUUCGACUCCAUGGCUAACUCA
rnacentral:tRNA from 1 species